GUACGUGUGCAAGAGCGGCGGCGCGUGGGGCGGCCCCGUGGGCAACAGCGUGGGGCAACGCCGGGCCUCGGGGGGCAGAGCGGGUGGGGAGAGGAGGGAGGGGAGGGAGCGGCGGCGGCGGCUGCUGGGGGGAGCCAUGUGGGAGUCGAGUCCUACCUGGGAGCCGUGCCAACUUCCUGCAAAGGGUUACAGCCCCGCAGCUCCCAGAGCCCACCAGAGGCGAGUUGGCUCUUGUCACGCAUCCAAGGCGAGAGGAAGACAGCGGGAACGGAACAGUGAUUCUGCAUUUCCCUCAGUUGCUGGGAUGGCUUCGCAGCUCGCAGUCGCGGCUCUUUGCUCCCGGAUGGCAGAGGGGAAUGGAUUUCUGGUGACAUAAUGGGGAUCGGCUCUGCCGUGGGUCAGCAUUGGGGUGGUCUCACCUCUCGUGGAGGGAUUGCUGGACGUCUGGAGAGAUGCUGGGAGCGAGAGCAGGAGCGGGGGGAUCGCUGUCCUUGCAUAGAAAGGAGCCACUGAGCAGUCAGUUCCUGGAUAAGGAUCAUCUCAUUGCCCUAGAUGGCAAUGGUCCCAAGCUGUCCUUGAGGCUGAGGUAGUAGAUUGAAUAGUUGUGGAGUCCUAUCCUCCCUUUGAGCUAACUAUACAAUCUACUGUCUUUCCUAAGGAGACAGUCAGAUCUUCAGUUCGUCUGCUUGGACACAAAGCAUGGAGACAGGUGGUGCAAGAAAUCCUGCUCUUCCACAAAGCCAGGGAAUCACACCAGACCUCUGUACUGCUCUGUGGAGGUGAGGUAGUAGGUUGUAUAGUUUGGUGGGAGGGAUUCUGUCCCAUUUCAGGUGAUAACUAUACAGUCUAUUGCCUUCCUUAAAGAGCAGCAAUACCACCGGAGGAGAUGCUCAGCCACAGAGCUCCUAGAGCAAAAACAGCACAUGGCACCAUUGAACAACAAAGUGGGUCUUCUACAGCAUCCGGGGCUGUGUUAUUCCAGGGUCUGCUCCGUGCCUCAGUCAUACGAACAGGGAGCUACCUACAUAAAGAAAAACGUCUCUCUCAUUUUUAAUGGCUGCAAGAGAAACAAUGAAAUGAGCUGGCUUAGCCCGUGGGCUCAAAGCCCCGUGAGCUGAUCAGAUUUUGGCUGGUUGGCCCCUGGAAGUGCAUUCUGGUUUUGGCCAAGUUCCCAGCUCUCCCAUGGGACACAGUUAGAGGGUGGUUCUUUCUGAUUUGAUAAUCUCUAUCAACCCAACUCACAUGCAAACCCUGCUGGAGAGAUUAGGACUCCUAUAUAUUUACAUAGGAUAAGCCAGCAGUUCAGACCAGUGCCCCAUCCUACUCAGGAGACAGGUGUGAGAGAGAGAUGAGCCAAAGGCAGCAAGUCCUAACCUUCUUGUUCCUGCCAGGUAGGUGGCACUGACAUCUGACAGCACAUGACAGCCUGCUUCAGAGCCCUGGCACUUGACAAGGGACAGGGAAUGGUUAUUUCUUCCCUCUGUGAGAAGCAGAUGGGACGACCCCUCUGCCACAUUCCAGAGUAAAUAGAACCCAGAUCACAGGAGGGACUGUAACUCGAUGAGGGCUGCACCAGUUUCCCAAGGCUGAAGGAUGUCUCAGGACAUUAUCGCUGGCAUCUCAGUGCCAGGGAAACGUGUGAGAUCUGAGAUACUGAGGAGCAAGGGCAAACCAAGGGCACCUUCUCAGAUGAAUUGGGAGGGAGAGAGCUGCAAUGAGAAAUGGGAGCCCUCAAAUUUCACCCUGGAAGCGCAACAUGGGGCGACUCAGAGCUGGCUGAUCGGGCUAUGGGACUCCCAUCAGUGAAGCAGCUCAUUUAAGGCUUCUCUGCUUCUUGGGAUAGGGUGUAGCUUCAGGAAGGCUGGGAUGGACUUCCUGGGGCUGGGCAACAGCUGGAGGGUGGGGAUGCUGGAGUAUCUAGCAGCAGAGGAAUGCAGCCCUCUGCUCCAUACAUCUGGCUUACCAGGAGUCAUGGGGACCUGCCACACAAAGCUACAGCUCACUCCUCCUCUACACACUCUUACCCUCUAUGCACCUCCUCAGGGGAAGGGCUUCUACCCCCAGCAUUGCUCGGAAGGUACCAAAACAGCAGCACAGGUAUGGGAACAGGGCAGCACAUCGGCUUCAUGUUUAAGAGGUGUUCCCUGGAAAAGGAUUAAUCCUGUGGGUCCCAAACGAAAUCAGUUCCGUUCCCAUCCACUGCACUGAUGUUAAUGCAGAGCAUAUUAAACAGCAAAACGGUAUGAGAUGAAAACUAUGAAUAAAAUACCACUGGAGAUACUCUGCUGUGAAAAUAAACUUGCUUUGACUAUUG
ensembl:lncRNA